GGCAGCGAAAUCCCGUUCGAAUCAAACAGGAACAGCCAGAUUCGGGCGAGUGUCCUCCGAGGAAAUCGGAUAAGCGCCGUGACUUGGAGCAAUCUCCUUCUCGUCAGAUCAAAAGGGAUGCUUGGGCAGUCAGAAGCUGGGACCAUCCGGCCAGAACAUGAUCCUUACGUUUGAUGGAAAUCGUGUAGAUUAUUCAAAACAAACGUCGAGGAAAAAUAGUGUAGUUAAAGGAAAAAUAUCAAUCUUGAAACAAAAAAAAAGUUCAAAGUGUAAAUACAGUUUGUUUUGUUUUGUGUCGCUUGCUGUGAUGACAGCUGGUGAAUCAAAGUUUCGUGUUUCGAUAGAUGCAAUCGUUCUCGUCGGUGAUUACAUUUAGUGUUUCAUGCCCACCAUGGCCGCAACGGACGUGGACCAAGAAAAGGACACCGGAUAGGCGGAUUAAGCGGAAAGAAAUCCCCAGCAACAAGGUAACACACAGAAAUCUCAGAUGGAGUUUGAGACGGAAUCGUCCAAGGCAGCGACGGUCAUGACGUUGAGAACGGCUGGACUACCCUGGAAGAAUCCAUCGGUGUGUGUUAUUGAUUGUGGAACGGCCAACGAUUUUUUUCCGGCGCAUCGAGUUCGUUGAAACCGAGUUUAGCGGAGAACAAUUCGUCGUUGCUGGAUCGAUUUGGUUUUCGGAAGAUCCGGCGCCAGCGGGAUGACGGUGGAACGGUGCUGUCGGAAUCUGAGCUGGAACCGCAACAGGCUGUCUUGUUGGCUAAACGAACAGAAGAUGUACGGAUGACGACCAGGUAAAUUCUUCGCAAUUCAAAAAGAUAUUUUUUUUUCUAAUUCUAGAAUUCCGUUUCUAACGCAACAACCGGUACGUACACGGAAUCGGUUGCUGCGAUUGAGGCGGAAUUCGUAAACGAUCCAAAUUGAAUUCCGUUUAAGAAUUCCGAUUGAUUUGACUGCGAUGGACUUUUUGUUGACACUUUGAGUUGACCCAUUUACAUUGUUAAAAAUAAUGUUUAUUUUGUUCUGUCAAACAGUUCAUCAUGCUCACCCUCAAGUAAAAAUCAACUAGGGGAAAUAUACCCAUUUUAAUCACCUCAAGCCGUUCGACUAAUUCUCAUCACUUUUGAAGUUUUCCGCUAUUAAAUCAACGUUUUUAGAUACAUCAACAAUGGAGAGUUGCUUGCUCACUUUUAUUUGAGCUAUUUGUUACUUUGGAUUGUCUGUGCUUUGGAACAGCCAAAAACAAUUUAUGAAAGCUGGAAUUCAUGACCAAAGUGUAGAUAGGCCGAUAAUAGAAAUAGGCUGAGAAAGAGUAUAUUUCCCCUAAUAGGUCACGAUGGCUCUUUUGAAACUUGAUACGAGAUUUUAGUUUCUCUGCUUUGCUGAAAAAUUUAACUGUCAAUGUUGAUUAUGAUUAUAAUUAUUAUUAUUUAAAUUUUCUUUAUUUAUUUUCAGAAAACAGCAACAUAAGAUCAACAUAACUCAAGAAUGUACUUUAUUCAACGUAGUGAGGAAUAUCACCAGCCACGUAUUGGACAAAAAAGAUAAGUGAACAUUUUUAUCAUGGUGUAAACUAGAGAUUUGGCGAAUUGUUUUUAUUUACAGGUGUGUCCCUCAGUUACGCUUCGGACCUGAACCUGAUUUUUGAAGCAGCGGUGUUACCGUAGAAGACGGUAUUCAGGCCGGUGUAGCACGACAGCGCAACUUCCCAUCGGCAGAACUCCAAUUUAAGCAAAAUCGGCAGCUGAAGGUUAUGUCAAACCUGGACCCAUUUCACCAGACCGACAACUUUCACAGAAUGGCAGAGAUGGAGCUGUUCGAGGAUUGGCUUCUGCGAUUGCUACUAAAAUUCUGGACGAGGUUUACUGCCACUCGAAGCCAAUCUGUUCCAUAUGUAAUUUUGUCAAAUUUGAGUUAAUGAUAUUAGUUCUAAAUCAUGUGAACUAUCAGAAAACUAAUAAUAUUGAGUACUUUAUUCCAGAAAACGAAGAUAGUCACACUUUUUCGUGAAAUCCUAACACUUAGCCUUAAGGGCGGGACACAUUUGCAUUACGUUUUUCUCAGCUUGUUGUUUUUACAAAUGGAAUGGAAUAGAUUCGAGCGGCAGUUUACAACCUAGUUCAACCCUGUGCUGCAUGAGAUGUCUCAUUGAGCUAUGAUGUUAGAAUUAUAUUUAAAAAAACACUUUUUCUAAGAUCAUAUUGUAUUUUUUUCCCUUAUGUUGAAUAAGUCACUUCUUUAGGCACUC